AGCUGGUCAGCGUGAGGAACAAGGAGGAGAACCUCCAGAUCCAGCAGCUGAUACCUGCAGGAGAUGUCGUAUACAUCGGGCUUUUCAAAGACGCUUUUGUCUGGUCCGAUAACAGCACGUCUUCAUUCAGAAACUGGAAUUUUGGUCAGCCGGACGGGUCAGGAGAGUGUGUGGUGAAGUUACGACAAAACAGACGGUGGGAUGAUCAGAGGUGCAUCGAAACCAGACCCUUCUUCUGCUACGAAAGAAUAGUGUUUAGGCAGAUAUUAAAACUGAAGGUGGAAUCAGAUCAGAACGUGAAUGAUCCCGAUAUUAAGGCAGCCAUCCUCGAGCAGAUUAAGCAGAAACUGAUAUCUCAGGGAAUUUCAGUGCAUGCAAAUCUGCAAUGGAAGCAGCAGGAGAAUGGAGACGUCUUCCAAUGAGAAGAGAAGACGAGCAAGGAGUUAUAAGAUCUUCAGAACCAAAGCUCUA